UUAGAGCGUGGUGCUAAUAAC
rnacentral:misc_RNA from 1 species